AUUUGGCUCCUAAAAGGCAAUCUCGAUUUUCAUUGCCUAUUUUUUUCAAGUCAAUAUAUCAAGUCCUUCGCAAUAUUUACUCUAAUGAUUUAUCUAGUAGUUAGGUCAUGAGCAAGCAAAUGUUCCAGUUAGUGUGGAAGAAGCUAGUUGCGUUUCAACAGGAAUCAGUAGAAUUUUUCCACGAAAACGAUGAAAAACCCAAUAAGGAUUUAGGAUCUUUAGAUUAAAUUCGUGAGGAUUUAGCAUUCUGGUUCACAAUUGUUACGCAAUUCAACAAGUAGUACUUAGUCGAAUUAAUUUUGAUUUACUGUGAAAUUUACAAAAAAUGCAACUACGUGUUUAAAACUUUGAUCGACUCCAAAAGUUCGGAUCGCAAGGGUUUUAAGUAAUGAAGCGCAAACGAAAAAUACUCAAAACUAUUUAACUGUGUGUUGUUAAUUGCUUACUCCCAAAAAAAGAAUGCGAUUAAUGAAUAAAACCUGAUUAUGAUUUUAUAUUAUUAAAUUAUAACUGGUUUGUAUAAACAACAUUUAAUUAAACGAUUGAUUCAUAUUCUAUUGCUUUGAACCGACAAAGAGAUGAUGAGUAAUUGCGUCAAAUGCCGAUAAUAUGCUUGUAAAGUAAUCAGUUCAUAUGAAGAGUCAUAAAGAUAGAAAUUGGUAUAAUAACAGCAAUAUGUAUUACUCAUUGAUAAAUACUUCAGUGGUAUGAUUUCCAUUAACGUAUCACGAACUAUGCGAGUGAAUAUCAUGUUGAGUUUGGACUGUAUUUGUUUGUAAAAUUCUGAUUUAGAGGGAAUACUAUACGUAACUUACAUAUGUGCUGUAUGAACACGUAAUUUUUAACCUGCGGAAACUGCGAAUAGGCGAGGCUGUUUAUUAAAGAAAAUUAUCUUCGUGUAGAUCAUAAAGGUCGACGUUUUAAGGAUUUUAAAAUUCAUAAAAGAACUGUUUAACCAUGAUAACGAUAUUUUUAGUUCAAAUAAAUACACCCACGUAUCGUCUGGCUUACUGUUAACGUUUACUUAGAGGAAGAAAUAGACGUUACUAUAUCGGAUAAGAUAUUCCAACAA